GAGUGUCAGGGCUAUGCAGCUACUGGCUGUCUCCCUGGGCUCUGUAGGAUUUUGGAUGCCUCUUUGCAGGUGGGGCUCAGAUCCUCCUUACACCGUGUUUUGUUUUGACAGAAGAGCUGGUGGAAGAGGAGGAACCACUCCUCCUCCUGCAAUGUCAAAACAGUUAUUAUGAGGCCCUCAAAAAUGAGGAAAUGGUCAAGAUAGAAAUGUUGACAAACCUCUCCUAGCUGACCCAUUGGCUGCAGAGGAAGCUCUGUGGUUUGGAGCAUUUCUGUGGCUUGGGAUCAGGCUUGGUUUUGCCAGCCCCAUUCUGAGUGUGCUGCUGUUGUCGAGGGUAAUUCCCCUUGGUGCUGCUGAAGGGCUCAGCUCUGACUGCAGAUCACUGCUUUGGUUUCAGCAUCUUGGCUCAGACUGGGUCUCAGCCUAGUGCCUGAGCUGUGGGUGAGAUGGGGAGUGCUGCACAGGGAGCCUGAAACCCUUCUCCCUGGCUGCCUCCAUCCUUCCCAUUACACUUCUAAGGGUUUUGCUAUUUACAGAGGAUUUGGGUGGGACAGGGCUGUUGCCUGUUGUACUUCCCUGGAUGACCUGGUUUUUUUAUUGUGGAAGUCUCAGAGAAUUGGCUUAGGCUUUAAGUUAUUGUUUGUUUGUGGUUGCUGAACUUGUGCUGUUUAAUGGAAACAUUUCCCUUUGGUAGGAGAGCUAUUGCUGGAAAUAAAUCCAGGUGAAUACCUCGUGGCUGAGGCAGGAGCGGGGACUGGAUGGAGCUGCAGUGUCCAUCCACAGUAAUUAAGGAGAGAGGAAUGAAAAACUGAUGUUCAGCCCUGAUUGGAGUCAUUCAUCUGCUGCAGGGCUUGGGGCUCAGAGCAGAG